GCCGCUAGCAACUCGAGCUCUCAAUUUGUUGUGAACAUCCAGAAGCUCUUUCUUUUCAGCAGGUGUUACUGUAGCAUCUUUAUAAGCACCGCACUGGCGGCUAGGCUGAGAAAAUUGACACAUGGUGUGAACCCCUGGGUCGCAAGUGUCAAGCCGACAGAACCCAUCUGCAUCAACCAAUGAUGCUAUGGCCAGGAAAGCCACGAAAAUGGAAGGGAGCAAUACCAUUCUGCAGGGAAUAAGACUCAGUGAAACUACAGGAAAACUACGUUGACAUGCUUCUCGCUUCAGAAGAAGUAUCGUUGCUUGGUACCCCCACUCUAUCGAAUUUAGCUGCGACUCGCCGUCCAUC